rnacentral:rRNA from 1 species
CCUACGGGAGGCUGCAGUGAGGAAUAUUGGUCAAUGGACGAGAGUCUGAACCAGCCAAGUAGCGUGAAGGAUGACUGCCCUAUGGGUUGUAAACUUCUUUUAUAUGGGAAUAAAACGUUCCACGUGUGGUAUUUUGUCUGUACCAUAUGAAUAAGGAACGGCUAAUUCCGUGCCAGCAGCCGCGGUAAUACGGAGGGUCCGAGCGUUAUCCGGAUUUAUUGGGUUUUAAGGGGGCGUGGGCGGCGUGUAAAGUCAGCGGUAAAAUGUCGGGGCUCAACCCCGGCCGGCCGUGGAAACUGGCGUGCGCGAGUUGGAGGAAAGUAUGCGGAAUUCGUGGUGUAGCGGUGAAAUGCAUAGAUAUCACGAAGAACCCCGAUUGCGAAGGCAGCAUACCGGCUCCACACUGACGCUGAGGCACGAAGGCGUGGGUAUCGAACAGGAUUAGAUACCCGGGUAGUC